rnacentral:rRNA from 1 species
CCUACGGGAUGCAGCAGUGAGGAAUAUUGGUCAAUGGACGGAAGUCUGAACCAGCCAUGCCGCGUGCAGGAAGACGGCUCUAUGAGUUGUAAACUGCUUUUGUACAAGGGUAAACCUGAAUACGUGUAUUCAGCUGAAAGUACUGUACGAAUAAGGAUCGGCUAACUCCGUGCCAGCAGCCGCGGUAAUACGGAGGAUCCAAGCGUUAUCCGGAUUUCUUGGGUUUAAAGGGUGCGUAGGCGGAUUGAUAAGUUAGAGGUGAAAUGUCCGAGCUUAACUCGGGAACUGCCUCUAAUACUGUUGAUCGAGAGAGUAGAUGCGGUAGGCGGAAUGUAUGGUGUAGCGGUGAAAUGCUUAGAGAUCAUACAGAACACCGAUUGCGAAGGCAGCUUACCAAUCUAUAUCUGACGUUGAGGCACGAAAGCGUGGGGAGCAAACAGGAUUAGAUACCCCAGAAGUC